rnacentral:lncRNA from 1 species
CAUGGCUUUGUUGGAUCUGAGCCAUAACCGAAUCUUCGGGACGCUUCCUAGGGAACUGACUGAGCUACGUCUCGAGCGUUUCAACAUUAGUUACAAUCGUCUAUGCGGAAAAAUCCCACGUGGUGGUCAACUUCAGACCUUUAAAUCAUAUGAGUUCGCUGAGAACCGCUGUCUUUGUGGGUCCCCACUUAAGAAGGCUUGUUAAGUUUGUUUUAAUGGCGUGACUACAAAUAACUACGUCUUAUCUGUACGAUGAUGAUGUGUUAAAUAUCACUGUUAUUAAAUGAAUUGUUCCUUAGAUGAAUUAAUGCUGUUGUAUCAUUUGUUCUUUUUUAAGAAUAACAUUCUUUUUGCUUUCAAAAGUGGUGGGUAUAUUUUGAUCAAAAAAACAAAAAAAGUGGUGGGUAUCUCUAGUAUCCACUUGUUUGGCCGUUGUAUUUGUUUCUAUCUUGACACACAGCAACCGUUUUAAAGUUCAUUCACUACACUCCACACUAUUAACGCAGUUUUUCACACUGCUUUUCUUUGGAAAGUAAGUCAUGUAUUUUGUUAGACUUGACGUAAAAAUAAUAACAUCAUACAGGCUAUUCAUAUCUAACAUCUAACAAAUUUGUCAUCAUCUGAUAUAAGUUCUCUGUGGUACGUACACAAGUUAAUAGAGUGCAUGCAUGAAAAGGUAACCAAAGAUACUCUUUGUAGUAUCACGAGUUAAGUUCAAGUGUUAGGAUUAGACUGAUUUUUAAUUGAGAGCCGUACAGAAUCCGUCCGAGGGAUCUAUGUGAUUGCAUCCCCAUGCAUUGAUUGAAUUGUUCUUUUUCUUUGCUUUAACUGAAACCUAAAAAAGUCUUGUAUAUGUAGGAGGGGUACACGCUUCGAUGGUUGGAUCGCUUCAUCCAACACAGUUGCAACACUUCCAUUCCGAUCUCCAUACUAUGCAGUUGCUGCAUUCUGUGAAGGAAGACUAAAGCAUGGAACUGUAGUGAAAAAAAAACAUCAUCAGUCACAAAUUUUUAAAAAUAUUGGAUGCUGAUUGUAUGAGUGUGAUUGGUUUGAUAGGAUGGUGGAUACAUACAGAAACACUCUGUCUUGGAGCUUCAAAAAGCAUGGCCAGGCUCAUAAGUGAGUUCAUAUCAUGCAUGCACACAAAAAUGAAAUAUGAACAUUGCAUACACUUCAUACUAAAAUAAUCAUACGAGAGAGAGAGACGGGGAUAUUGGAUUGAUGAAACAUUGAACCGAACCGGAGGACUUCUAACCGUACCAAGAUUCGAACAUACGGUAUAUGUGGUAGACGACUAAGCCUCUGCUCAUUUAUUUAGGUUCUUGUUUUGCAAAAUAAGAGGAGAAUAAUUGGUCUUCCUUGUGUCUAGGAACCAGACAGACAUAGAUUUUUGAGUUCUAUUGCUUUUGGAACCAUGCCUCACUGCGUCAAAAAAUAACCACUCAUAUAUCACAAUGAAGCUCCUUCUUUGUCUCUCUAUCUUCUUCAUCUCUUCUCUCCCAUCCUCUUACAGCUGCAACUCAAAAGACAAAAACACCCUCCUUCAAAUCAAGAAACAUUUUAACAACACGGAAUUCCUCUCCUCAUGGGAUCCUCAAACCGACUGUUGUACAAGCUGGACAGGCAUCGAGUGCACUAACGGCCGCGUCACAUUAUUCUCUAUGGCCAACUACAGAACCCUCUACGGUCAGAUCCCUGACCAGAUCGGUGACCUCCUUGAACUCCGUACACUCGAAAUGAGUCACAUGAAACUAACCGGAAACAUACCACGCACCAUCACCAAACUCAAGCACCUCGUCUUCAUCUUCUUACUGUGGAACAAACUAUCCGGUCCAAUUCCUGAUUACAUCAGCGAGCUCAAAAGCGUUACGUUCUUGGACAUCUCCUUUAACAAGUUUACUGGUCCUAUUCCCGGUUGGCUUACUCAGAUGCCUAAGCUUCAGACCUUUCAGGCCGACAACAAUUCGCUAACCGGUCCUGUACCGAACUCUUUCGGUUCCUUCGUAGGCAGCGUCCCUAAUCUCUUCUUGAAAAACAAUAAGCUCUCAGGUAUACCAAUAUUUUUUUUUAUUAUACUUUUUCAUAAUAUAAGUAGUUUAGGAAUUUUUUUUCAUAUUACAAAAUAUAAGUAGUUUUGACAUUUGUAUGAAGUUUUUACACUUAUGUGACCACUUAUGCAAACAUUUUUAUCAAUAGUUAUGAAAAGGUUAAAUAUUUUCUUAAUGAUUGUACUUCACCAAAACACCUUAUAUUUUGAAACAUAUGAGGUGAAGAAUAACUUUAGGUUUAAAUGUUGGAUCUAAAGAUACACUAAUUUGAGAUUUCUUAAAAUAUGAAUUAUUUUUAAAGAUCAUAUUAUUAAUUAUUUUCAGCGCCAAAUUGUCAUUAUUAUUAUCAUUGAUGAUUUAAUAAAAUAUAUUCAAUAACAUUGCUCUGGCAGGAAAAAUACCGGAGUCGUUGUCAAAGAUGGACUUUCAAGCAGUAGUUCUGAAGGGAAACGGUUUCACAGGAGAUGGUUCGAUGUUUUUCGGAGGGAACAAAAGAACAGUACAAGUGGAUCUGUCGAGAAACUUGUUUGAGUUUGAUCUCUCCAAGAUUAAGUUCGGUAAGAGCCUAGCUAUGUUGGAUCUGAGCCAUAACCGAAUCUUCGGGACGCUUCCUAGGGAGCUGACUCAGCUACAUCUCGAGCGUUUCAACAUUAGUUACAAUCGUCUUUGCGGAAAAAUCCCACGUGGUGGUCAACUUCAAACCUUUAAAUCAUAUGAGUUCGCUGAGAACCGCUGUCUUUGUGGGUCCCCACUUAAGAAGGCUUGUUAAGUUUGUUUUAAUGGCGU